rnacentral:rRNA from 1 species
CCUACGGGAGGCUGCAGUGAGGAAUAUUGGUCAAUGGGCUUACGCCUGAACCAGCCAAGUCGCGUGAGGGAAGACUGCCCUAUGGGUUGUAAACCCCUUUCGCCAGGGAGCAACGCCGGCUACUUGUAGCCGGACUGAGAGUACCUGAAGAAAAAGCAUCGGCUACCUCCGUGCCAGCAGCGGCGGUAUUACGGAGGAUGCGGGGGUUAUCCGGAUUUAUGGGGUUUAAAGGGUGCGUAGUCGGAAUGCCACGUCAGCGGUAAAAUCGCGGGGCUCAACCUCGGUCCGCCGUUGAAACUGGGUUUCUUGAGUGGGGGAGAGGUAGGCGGAAUUCGUGGUGUAGCGGUGAAAUGCGUAGAUAUCAGGCGGAACACCGGUGGCGAAGGCAGCAUGCUGGCGCCCAACUGACGCUGAAGCGCGAAAGCGUGGGUAUCGAACAGGAUUAGAUACCCUUGUAGUC